rnacentral:rRNA from 1 species
AAUAGAUACCCGGGUAGUCCACGCCGUAAACGAUGAGUGCUAAGUGUUAGGGGGUUUCCGCCCCUUAGUGCUGCAGCUAACGCAUUAAGCACUCCGCCUGGGGAGUACGGUCGCAAGACUGAAACUCAAAGGAGUUGACGGGGGCCCGCACAAGCGGUGGAGCAUGUGGUUUAAUUCGAAGCAACGCGAAGAACCUUACCAGGUCUUGACAUCCCAUUGACCACUAUGGAGACAUAGUUUUCCCUUCGGGGACAACGGUGACAGGUGGUGCAUGGUUGUCGUCAGCUCGUGUCGUGAGAUGUUGGGUUAAGUCCCGCAACGAGCGCAACCCUUGUUCUUAGUUGCCAUCAUUUAGUUGGGCACUCUAAGGAGACUGCCGGUGACAAACCGGAGGAAGGUGGGGAUGACGUCAAAUCAUCAUGCCCCUUAUGACCUGGGCUACACACGUGCUACAAUGGACGGUACAAACGGUUGCCAACCGCGAGGGGGAGCUAAUCCGAUAAAACCGUUCUCAGUUCGGAUUGCAGGCUGCAACUCGCCUACAUGAACG